GAGGAGCAGAUGGCAGGGAGCCAGUAGCUGGCCUCCCCUUCCCAUAACCUGCUUCUGCUUCCAGACACUGCCCUCGACUGCAGCUUACACUGCUCAGCAGAGCUCAGGGCCCAUUCUCCUGAGCAGACAUGGCAGCAUCUCCUGAAUCUCACUUGCUGCCCUGUAUGGUCCCGGCCAGUUUUCCAAACCUUUCCAACCACAUAACAUCCAGUUUAUUGAGUGGUUCUGGUGAGGGUUUGAUGGCACGCUCGGCAAAGCGACUUCACAGAGUGGCUUUUAUUUUUAUUUCCUCAAAAACACAGAGAGAGGGAGAACUGUGGGCUCCCCUCUCCUAGAGCUCUGUACCCGUGGGGGUAUUACCUGGGCAUCGUCUUCCUCACCAGCAAAUGGCAAUGAAAUACAUACUGUGUGGUGGUGAUGGGGUUUUAAAGUGGGAUAAUACUGAGCAGGGCAAAGGGACAUUUGUUAAAGAAAGUUUGCUUCAACUGCUGGCUUCUUUCUGACCUCUUUGUCCACAGAUGAACAUAACAGCUCCUGUAACUCUGGCAGAUGGAAAAGGUGGGCUUCUACCGACAAUGCAGUUCUCUAGUUCCCUGGCCGCCACUGUGAGCGUCAGGCCCUGUCUCAGGACCACACGUACUGCAGUGCCAUCCCUGCACUUCAAGGACAGCUGCAUUUCAUCUUCCAGGUCCUGGAUCACUGUUC
rnacentral:lncRNA from 1 species